CUCACCGUUUCUUCCGUCGGUGGACGUCAGCUCUCUCUCUCUUUCUCUCUCCUGAGGCCUUCUCAACAUAUUCCAUUUGAGAGCUUCUCAAUCAAUACGAAAACCCUUUCCGCCUCUGACAACAACAUCCCUUAUCCCUCCUUCCACCUCGAUAAAGUUCCAUUUUAGGACAAAACUCCUUUCCUUUUAUGACAAAGAGAUUCGUCCUAGGGUUUAAUUGGCUUAUUACGAUAUCAGCUGAUUCCCCUCCACCUUUAUUCCCAAUCUUUGCUCGAUCCAUUCUUCUUGCGAGAACAUCCUUCUUAGUUCUUGAAUCAAGGUCUUUUCUGGGUUGUAUUCCAUGGCCCAUCACCCCGGCCCGCCGCCAGGGUCGGGAUCGGGCUCCAGCUCCGGGCUCCACUUCUUGAAUUCUCCCUUCGGCGACACCACCUUCACGAAGGUCUUCGUCGGGGGCUUGGCAUGGGAGACGCAGAGCGAGACGCUGCGCCGCCACUUCGAGCAGUUCGGCGAGAUCCUCGAGGCCGUCGUCAUCUCCGACAAGAACACGGGGAGGUCGAAGGGCUACGGUUUCGUGACUUUCCGUGAUCCAGAAUCUGCAAGAAGGGCGUGUGUGGACCCGAGCCCUGUCAUAGACGGGAGACGGGCGAAUUGUAAUUUGGCUUCGCUAGGGCGACCUCGGCCGGCUCCACCUUAUGCACACCUAAGGCCAUCGGGCCCUUACUUUGGAGGAGUUCCAGUUCCCCGGGGGCCUUACAUAGGAAGUUCUGCUUAUCACCAAGCAUUUCCAUACAACUACCAACAAGCUAUUUCAUAUCCACCAUAUGCGUAUACAACAUAUGCACCUGAGUACAUCUAUCCACAGAAUGUUUAUAAUCCAUACACAGGACAUCAAUAUUUUCAAGUAUAUGGUGUUCCUGGAGCAGUAAACACAGCAGUUGGCCAAUAUGGGCAACUUGGCCAACCUGUUUCUGGUGGACAUGGUUAUACAGCAGUUCAGGGCUACACUAUGCCCAGUCACCAUCUAUUGCAAAUCAGUGGGCCAAAUGUCAAUGGAGGAACAACCGCACCUUUACCUGCAAUUCAGGCACCAUAUCCUGCAGGAAUAGUGGCACCAGUUCCAGCUCAACCACAAUUCAUGGCAGGGCAUUCACCACAGUUCAUGCAGGGCAAUUGUUCAGACCAAACAGCAGGUUAAGGAGUAUCUGAAUGAUGACAUCUCAAGAUAUCCUUUAGAUUGCAGGAUCAAGAACAGCAGUACUGCUACUUGAGCGGCAUGCUUUUCUUGCCUUGCAAGCAUUCAUCUUUGCAGUCUAGAGGCAAUCUGGACCAUUAGGAUGUCUGUAGUCAUGGUCACCAGAGAUACCACAGUUGCCAUUGAGUCCCUCCAGCGGAUGGAGCUGAAAAGCCCAAGAGUUUGAAUGCUCUUGCAUUGCUGCUGUCGUGUCUGUAAAUCCCCAUGCCCUGCCAGAGCUUGUCAUGAGUGGUGGAGUCUGGACUGAUGGAUGCCAGAAUUGGAUUCUGGCAACCUACAUAGGGAGAUGCUGUAAGUCAAACCAUACAUCCAAAAAGAUUCUUUUGAACGCCAGAGCACUAAUCUGGUUAUAUGGUCUUUAUUUGUGGUUCCUGGGAUUGAUCGGUCACAUUGCAUAUAACUGUUGUCAUGUAGACAAAGAUAAAUGAUGUCAGUGGGGCUGGUCAUUGUGUAGCUAGCCUUAAGAAAGUGAUGCAGCGUUCGUUUGGUUUUUCCUAAUAAUCUGUUUCUGGGCAUCCAUUAGGGACUGGUUGCUUAUAUUUUUUCACAUCUGAAAGGAUGUCUUUCCUCUUGCCAUUUGGGUGGUGUCAAGGGAAUCUUUCGUGGAAACAUGUUACUAUGGAGUGCCAUCAUAUUUUUUGCAUUAGUUGGAAAUAUUAUAUAAAAAGCUGCUGGAAUUGUGUUCUUAUA